UUGAUGAAGACAAGGGUAUGACCGGUGAUUACGCUGAGCUACGCUGA
rnacentral:snoRNA from 1 species